UACGGAGGAUGCAAGCGUUAUCCGGAAUGAUUGGGCGUAAAGCGUUCGCAGGUGGCUGUUCAAGUCUGCUGUCAAAUACCGGGGCUUAACCCUAGAAAGGCAGUGGAAACUGAACGGCUGGAGUGCAGUAGGGGUAGAGGGAAUUCCCAGUGCAGCGGUGAAAUGCGUAGAGAUUGGGAAGAACACCGGUGGCGAAAGCGCUCUGCUGGACUGCAACUGACACUGAGGGACGAAAGCUAGGGGAGCGAAAGGG
rnacentral:rRNA from 1 species